rnacentral:rRNA from 1 species
GCGGAGGAAAAGAAACUAACAAGGAUUCCCCUAGUAACGGCGAGUGAAGCGGGAAGAGCUCAAAUUUGUAAUCUGGCCCUUUCAGGGUCCGAGUUGUAAUCUCGAGAAGUGUUUUCCGCGCCGGACCGCAUACAAGUCUGUUGGAAUACAGCGUCAUAGUGGUGAGAGCCCCGUAAUUGAUGUGGAUGCCCGGUGCUUUGUGAUACACUUUCGAAGAGUCGAGUUGUUUGGGAAUGCAGCUCAAAUUGGGUGGUAAAUUCCAUCUAAAGCUAAAUAUUGGCGAGAGACCGAUAGCGAACAAGUACCGUGAGGGAAAGAUGAAAAGCACUUUGGAAAGAGAGUUAACAGUACGUGAAAUUGUUGGAAGGGAAACGCUUGAAGUCAGACUUGCUAUUCGGAAUUCAGCCGCAAGGUGUACUUUUCGAUUUGCAGGCCAGCAUCAGUUUUUGGGGGUGGAAAAGGGUGGAGAGAAGGUAGCAACCUUGGUUGUGUUAUAGCUCUUUACUGGAUUCAUCUUUGGGGACUGAGGAUCGCAGUGCGCAAUUUACUUUGCAAACCUUUCGAGGUUUUCGUACUUAGGAUGCUGGUGGAAUGGCUUUAAACGACCCGUCUU